GCCGUGCAAGCCUGAACCAACUGCGGUCGCCUGUCUGUCUCUGUCUUUGUCGUCCGUCUUUCGGUGUGCAUCGCCAGGUGGCCUUUGCCGGAGCCUAGGACCCACUAGGAAUAGGAGGAACAUUCUA